GACAGAGGUUGCAAACGUUGUUCGGAAUCACUGGGCAUAAAGAGCGCGCAGGCGGUCGUAUAAGUCGACUGUGAAAGCCCCCGGCUCAACUGGGGAGGGUCAUUCGAUACUGUUCGACUCGAAGGCAGGAGAGGGAAGUGGAAUUCCGGGUGUAGUGGUGAAAUGCGUAGAUAUCCGGAGGAACACCAGUGGCGAAGGCGACUUUCUGGCCUGUUCUUGACGCUGAGGCGCGAAAGCUAGGGGAGCAAACGGG
rnacentral:rRNA from 1 species